AGAGAGAGAGAGAGAGAGAGGACCUUAUUCUGGUGCUUAUCCGAUCAAAUGUUAUCACAUUUUAAACUGUAUAAGUUCUUAAAUUUUCCCCUUGUCAAUUGAAUUUUGCAACCAAAAAGGUUCAAGCACGAGAAUUUGGUGAAAUAAAAUUCAGCCAAGUCAAGAUUCCCAUUUUAGUAGAAACAGAUGUCAAAGUAGUUUUUGUAGCAGAAGCCCAUGACCAGCGAAAUGCUAAGGAAAAUAGAUGAAAGAAAGAAUGUAGGACGCACUCAAGGAGAAGUUAACUUGGACCUGUUUCUAAACAUCAAUUAAUCUAGACUGCAAGAUGAUCUAUGAUUACGUUCAAUGUAUCAAUCCCUUGAACUAACUGCUUUUGAAAUUUUCUUCUUGGUUAAAAGUUUAAUUACUUUCAUUUAUGUAAGUGCUGGUGUUAUGGAAGGUGGAAUGUUAGUCAUGUACUUAGUAAAAUCUAAUAAUCUAUGCAAGUAAAACAUUUUGAUUUUUGAAGUAAUUUGGCAGUUUAAAGGAAAUCCAAAGGAUUUUUUUUUUUUUGGUGAAAUAAUGGCAAAUUUUGAAGAAUUUAAAAUUUAAUGUUUAUUAGAGAAUGCAUAAAUAGGUUAUGAUGCCUUUUAUGUGUUGAGUGGUACUGUUUAAUUUUUCAUUCAUUUGAGUUGGUUUUGAAUUUGUUUUAAUUUCAAUCUAAAUUUGUAUGAAAAAAUAUGGUUUGAUUUACAGUUAAAUGAUGGGACAUGGUUGAACGCAUACCUUUAGAUGUGUUAAUAUCUUGAGCAUACCAUUUUUCAGUUCAGUAUUGAGCCAUCAUUUCAGUGUAUAACUGUAACAUUUGCUGUGCUUCCAUAUUAUUAUAGG
rnacentral:misc_RNA from 1 species